GAUCAUGGCUCAGGAUGAACGCUAGCGGCAGGCUUAACACAUGCAAGUCGAGGGGCAGCGUGGAGGGGUAGCAAUACUCUGACGGCGACCGGCGGAAGGGUGCGUAACACGUGAGCGACUUGCCCGAUACAGGGAGAUAACCGGUGGAAACGCCGACUAAUAUCCCAUACGACAUGAGGCUGCAUGGCCUUGGGUUGAAAGGUUCGCCGGUAUCGGAUAGGCUCGCGGGACAUUAG
rnacentral:rRNA from 1 species